CUACUGAGACCCUGUGACCUGUGGGCUUCCCUUUGUCAUCCUAUGCCUGGAGAUCACAGUGAGGCAGGGACAGCAAAGGGAUGCUCAGCUGUCGUCUCUUCC
rnacentral:pre_miRNA from 13 species